rnacentral:snoRNA from 1 species
UGGGCUUCAUCCUGUGCAGUAACAGGUGUGAGCAUCCAUGCAGCGUUUUGAUGGUCAUGUAUGAUACUGCAUACAACA